ensembl:misc_RNA Metazoa_SRP Metazoan signal recognition particle RNA
GCCGGGUGUGCUGGCGCAUGCCUGUAGUCCCAGCUGCUCAGGAGGCUGAGGCAGAAGAAUCGCUUGAACUCAGGAGGCGGAAGUUGCAGUGAGCCGAGAUUGUGCCACUGCACUCCAGCCUGGGUAACAGAGUGAGACUCCGUCUCAA